UUUUUUGCAGUGAGUAACUCAUCGUUUUAGAGUUAUGCCCCACGAUAAUUUACAAAAAUGCAAAUAUUUAUUGUUUCUUGGUUUUUACUACGUUUGCCUCCUGUAAGGUUUGUGGAACUCAAACACUAUACUCAUUGUUUACAUAAUAAACGGAAAUCAAACAAGUAAAAAUAGAAAAGAAAUACUACACAGGAAAAUAUGGCUAAGAUUAGAACAAUCACUGGUAUUAAACUGAUAACC
rnacentral:lncRNA from 1 species